UACGGAGGGAGCUAGCGUUGUUCGGAAUUACUGGGCGUAAAGCGCACGUAGGCGGCUUUGUAAGUUAGAGGUGAAAGCCCGGGGCUCAACCCCGGAAUUGCCUUUAAGACUGCAUCGCUUGAAUCCGGGAGAGGUGAGUGGAAUUCCGAGUGUAGAGGUGAAAUUCGUAGAUAUUCGGAAGAACACCAGUGGCGAAGGCGGCUCACUGGCCCGGUACUGACGCUGAUGUGCGAAAGCGUGGGGAGCAAACAGG
rnacentral:rRNA from 1 species